UGAAGAAAUAGAACUCUCAGCUAUGCCACGCCAUGCCUGCCUAGAUGCUGCCCUGCUCCCACCUUGAUGAUAAUGGAUUGAACCUCUGAGCCUCUAAGCCAGCCCCAAUUAAAUGUUGUCCUUAUAAGAGUUGCCUUGGUCAUGGUGUCUGUUCACAGCAGUAAAACCGUAAGACAAAAGUUGGUACCAGGAGUGGGGUAUUGAUGUGAAAGACCUGAUCAUGCUUUUAUUUGGAGGAAUGUGGAUUUGGGGACUUUGGAAAGCAGUGGAAUGCUUUAAGUUGUGCUCAAUGGGCUAUUUUAGCAGGAAUAUGGAAGAAUUUGAUGUUGAGUAUGAUUUGAACUGUGCAGACUUGGCUCAAAAGAUUUCAAUGAAGAAUUCAGAAUGUGGCCUAGAGACUGUUGUUGUGGUACAUUGGUGAAGAAUGUGGCCAUUGUCUGAAGAGUCUAUCUAAGGCUAAGGUGAAGAGACUCAGAUUAAUUGCAUUGACAAUGAAGUCUCUGAAAUGCCCAACAUAGACUCUGUUCUCUGGUUAAGUCUCAUGAAGAGUAUUUUAAACAAGCAUAACAAGCUUAGAAAGGAAAAAUAUAAAAUAUAUGGUUCAAGUAUUACAGGGGCACCAGGAAGUGAAAUGGAACUGAAGCAUAUUUUCUAGGAGAUGGCAGAUUAAGGGACUUGGGGGCAAGAUCCUACCUAGUCAAGUUAGCUGGAGCUAAGAAAUUAGUGGUGAUUAAGAAGAGACCAGCGUCACCGAGGUGAAACCUUCUGGGAAAUGUUUUCUGAGAGCACAAAGAAGCUGUGUUCCAGAGAUAGCCAAGGUUGUACCUCUGGAAGCAGCUAUACUUAGUAAUGUGUAAUAGUCACCCAGGUGACACUGCUUUUGAGUGUAUGAAGAGGUCAUGAAGAGCAGCUGAGACUGGGCACAGUGAGAGGCCAGGGACGGCCAUUGGUGAGAUUGCAGCCUUAGUUACAGUUGAUGGCCCAGGGCUAAAGGGGUCAUGCAAACGACUUUACUUGGCACCAUGAAGAGAGCCUAUGAGAAGCUAUUGGUGAAGCCUGGUUGCAGCAGAAGACCCCAGAGUAUUGGAGAUGCCAGGACCAUAGGAUGAUCACUAAGAACAGCAGCAACAAUGGAGGAGAUCAACCUAAAUUUGGAGUCCUACAGAGGGCAGAGCUGGAGAAGUGAUGCCAGCCCUUUGGAGGAGCCCAGAAGAUCAUGUGUGGAUUUCAGACACUGAAACAAAAGGUGUAAAUAAGUUUAACAUUGAAGUUGCCUUGGAGACCCCAAGAUGUUUGAGAUGCCAGAUCCAUGGUUUAUCUGCUGAGGAAAGCUGCUAACGGAGAGUAGAACGAGCACAGGAGAAAGAAGUUUGUUGAAGUCAACAAGGAUGAAAAGGGAGUUGGAGAUCUGAAAAUCACUCUGACAUCACACAUGGAGAUGCAGAGGUUGGAGUUUGCCCAGCUGGUUUCCUGUCUUGCUUUGAGAAUUACAGGUAAGCGAUUGGAUGGAUCUCAGAAGAGACUUUGAACUUUGGACUUUUAACGUUGUUGAGAUGCGAUCAACUAUGGGGACUUUUGAAGUUGGACUAAAUAUAUUUUGCAUUUUGCUAUGGCACCCAUAGACUCAUGUGUUUGGACAGACCUAUGGGGGCCAGGGAGUGGAAUGUGAUGGUUUGUAUAUGCUUGGCCCAGGGAGUAGCACUAGUAGGUGUGGCCUUGUUGGAGUGGGUGUGUCACUGUGGGCAUGGGAUUAAGACCCUCACCCUAGCUGCUUGGAAGUCAGUAUUCUGUUAGCAGCCUUCAGAUGAAGAUGUAGAACUCUUAGCUCCUCCUGCACCAUGCCUGCCUGGAUGCUGCCGUGCUCCUGCCUUGAUGAUAAUGGAUUGAACCUCUGAACCUGUAAGCCAGCCCCAAUGAAGUGUUGUCUUGGUCAUGGUGUCUGUUCACAGCAGUAAACCCUAACUAAGACAGUCAUUGAUAAUGCACUUCCAAAAUAAAACACUGGAAAAGGGCCACAUUACAGGCACCAGAACCUGUUCAUAGCCUACAGCACAUGCAAAAGACACAGACAUAAUAGCAUGUGUUUGUAAUCUCAAUCCAGGGAGGCGGGAAAGGUGGAUCCUCAGUGCUCUCCAGCCAGACAGCCUGACCUCCUGGGUGAGUUCUGUCAGUGACAAAAGGAAUGAUGGUCAGAGCCUGAGGAACACAGUACUGGUCCUCCACACUCUGCAAACACAUGUAUAUCUAUGUGCAUGAACUCCAAGGACACACCUACAUGAACCUGCACACACACAUACACCUCUCCGUGGUAGAUUUCAUGCCAAGUGUACUAACCACAACACAAUCAAAAUUAUAGGGAAGGAGAAGAAAUCAACCCAUUACCUGCCAUAGCCUUCCACGAGGGAAGUUUAGAAAUACACGUGGAAGAGAGGCGAAUGCAGGUAUGAAGACUUGACUUUUGGCACGAGGAAGACGGUUGAAACUGUCGGUUUUCCUUCGAAUGUACGGCAACAUUCUAGGGACACACAGCGUCUGUGGUGAAAAUAUGGAUGCGUGAACCAUUAAGCAUGGAUGGUAUUGAGCUUGCCUGACAAACAACAGCUUUAUGGCGAACAUGCCUUUACCAGAUAGAGACAGAAACACAUUUAAGACAUGCUCCUCCCCAUUUUUCUAUGGACUUAUCUGAUUGACAGCUCAGUUUUUAUUAUCUACACCCCCACCAUGUCUUCGAAGACAGUGGUGCCGUGCAAUGAAGGCUAAUAACUCGCUCUAAGUCCAAACAUCUGUUUCCGGAUACUCGGCUCCACAGAGGAUGUUUUUGUUUGUGCACCGACACAUUGGAGUUAACCACACCGAGCCACUUUCUCAGGCUCUAAGGAGAAAUCCUUCCACAUGCUGAGUGACUGUCUGCUACAUCGUUUUAAAUGUGGAAGAAGCAAUCCGCGUACAUGUUUAGCAUCCGUGGAUACUAAGGGUCCCAGAACUCACAAUCCAGUGAGGAAACAACAUUGGGAUGUCUCAUCCAGGCUUUGUAUGUAAGAAUGUGUACUGGUCUUUUCUGAUAUAAAAGAAAAAAAUCCAUUAAAGAA